rnacentral:rRNA from 1 species
AUAUCAGUCAUGCAUAGCAUAUCAAUAAGCGGAGGAAAAGAAACUAACAAGGAUUCCCCUAGUAACUGCGAGUGAAGCGGGAAGAGCUCAAAUUUGAAAUCUUAAAAGGUUUUCCUUUUACGAAUUGUAGUUUAAAGAAGUGUUUUCUGUUGAAAUUUUAGUAAAAGUUCUUUGGAAUAGGACAUCAUAGAGGGUGAGAAUCCCGUAUUUGACUAGAAUUUUUCAACUUUGUGAUACACUUUCAAAGAGUCGGAUUGUUUGGGAAUGCAGUCCAAAAUGGGUGGUAAAUUUCAUCUAAAGCUAAAUAUUGGCGAGAGACCGAUAGCGAACAAGUACCGUGAGGGAAAGAUGAAAAGAACUUUGAAAAGAGAGUUAAAUAGUACGUGAAAUUGUCAAAAGGGAAGCGUUUGGCACCAGUGUUGUUUUUCUAAAAAUCAAUUUAAAAUUUGCUUAUGCUAAGUUUUUUAGACUUAAUCGGCUAAUAAUUUAGUUUUUUGUAAUUUUUGAAUGCACUUUUUAGUUAACAAGUCAACAUCAAUUUCUUUUGUUGUAAAAGAAUAAGAGGAAGGUGGCUUGGGAUUUAGUUUCAAGUGUUUAUAGCCUUUUAUUUAUGCAAUAGGAGGGAUUGAGGUCUGCAGCAUAGAUCCUUCGGGGCUAGAUGCAUUUUCGCUAAGAGUCAGUAUUAUAUAAACAACUUGUUGAUUAUGUAGUAUGUUGAUUUUUACUCGGGAGUGUUAUUUUACCUACGCUUAGGAUGUUGAUCUACAGAGCGAGAG